GUUUGUUCCAAGUCCCGAAAUACAAUUUUUCAGAGAACCAUUUGAAUUGUGGCUUAAACUUCAGUCAUCGUUGUGUAUCUGACAGUGAAGGUUCUCCCAGUAAAUCAAAGACUGGUCUCGUAAUUGGUAUCGUUGGUGGAUUUCUUGGAAUUAUCCUUCUUGGGGGAUUAAUGUUAUUUUUCUGGCGGGGGAGGAACAAAGGCUACAAACGUGAAAUCUAUGUUGAUGUUCCAGGUGAGGUUGACAGACGAAUUCCAUUUGGUCAAUUGAGGAGAUUCGCAUGGAGGGAAUUGCAACUCGCUACUGAUAACUUUAGUGAAAAGAAUGUUCUUGGACAGGGAGGUUUUGGCAAGGUUUAUAAAGGAGUGCUCAGUGAUAGCACUAAAGUUGC
rnacentral:misc_RNA from 1 species